UGGAGCUGUAGUUGGCUAAUAUUACCGGACGCCACUGACACUCUUUCAAGUUUCAAGCUUGCACCAAAAAGGUUGAGAGAAAGUCUUUGAACAACAAUGGCAAAAAAGUGAAACUACAUGUCGAAAGAGUCAACAGAGAAGCAAGUUCCUCCACCAAUGGGAGAAUUGAGUGUGCAAGAAGGAGAAGAAGAUGCAAAGAGAAAGGUGAAUGAAGCAAUGGUGGUAAUGGAGGAGUUAGGAGAGUGUAAAACUCCAACUCGGUCAAGCAACAUGAUUCCUGUUAUUCAAAAUUGUCCACCUGCCCCAAGAAAGAAAAGGAGGUCAGUGCCAGCAUUUUCUUCACACAUGAAAAGAUCAUCAGCCAGUGAAUUGAAAUAUGUAGUGAAGCCUGAGGAGGUAGAGUCUUUCUUCCAAUCCAUGUUUGAGCUUUCUAGGGUUAACAAGAGAUGUAGAAGAAUAUGAAAUUUCUUUGUUGAUAAUUGUGGGGUGAAAAAUCCUCACAUAAAUCAUAAUAAUCCAACUAUGUUAGGAUUUUAUUUGAGAUUCUAUAUUGUCUUUACGGCCGGUAAAAGCCUUACCGAGACUCUUUGUAAGCCAAUAAAAAUAAAAUUGCUUGUAAAAGCUGCAGCGGUCAAUUGUAUUACAGCUAAAAGCAAUAUUUAUUGUCGUUAAAAAUGUUUUUAAUAGUUAAAUGUUAGUUGUUAGUAAAUUAGUACAAAUUUUCACUCCUCGGAGUUUGAA